AUUGAACGCUGGCGGCAGGCCUAACACAUGCAAGUCGAACGAGUGGCGGACGGGUGAGUAAUGUCUGGGAAACUGCCUGAUGGACGGGGAUAACUACUGGAAACGGUAGCUAAUACCGCAUACCAUCAGAUGUGCCCAGGUGGGAUUAGCUAGUUGGUGGGGUAACGGCUCACCAAGGCGACGAUCCCUAGCUGGUCUGAGAGGAUGACCGGCCACACUGGGACUGAGACACGGCCCAGACUCCUACGGGAGGCAGCAGUAGGGAAUAUUCGACAAUGGACGAAAGCCUGAUGGAGCAACGCCGCGUGAAUGAAGAAGGCUUUCGGGUUGUAAAAUACUGUCGUUGGGGAGGCGUUACCUACAGAAGAAGCACCGGCUAACUACGUGCCAGCAGCCGCGGUAAUUC
rnacentral:rRNA from 1 species